GAGCGAGACUCUAGCCUACUAAAUAGCCGCGAUAUUACUUUAACUGUGUCGCGCGCUUCUUAGAGGGAUUCGCGGUGUUUAGCCGCCCGAGAUUGAGCAAUAACAGGUCUGUGAUGCCCUUAGAUGUCCGGGGCUGCACGCGCGCUACACUGGCGAAAUCAACGUGCAGCUAUCCAUUCUCGAGAGGGACUGGUAAACCCAUGAAAAUUCGCCGUGCUUGGGAUCGGAGAUUGCAAUUAUUUUCCGUGAACGAGGAAUUCCAAGUAAGUGCGAGUCAUCAACUCGCUCUGAUUACGUCCC
rnacentral:rRNA from 1 species